rnacentral:lncRNA from 1 species
GAGUAAAGUUAAACUUUACUUUACAGUAAUUUUUUUUCUAUAUACAAAGAAUUACAGUACAUGUUUAUGGGGACUCCUAGCACAGGCUCCCCUCUUUUUCACUAAGAGUUUCACUUACCGCUGACAAUCUAUUGGGGUGAAGGGGGGGCAAAAAGAGUGAUGGACCUCAGCUGACACCCCCUUUUGCCCCUUAAAAAUAUAAAGAGAUCUCUUAUUGUCAGCCAAAGGUUUGCUGGAUUUCCAAGGUGUUAUACCUGAAGCCCCUAAAGAGCCUGAUGUUUUGAGAGUCACAGGAAAGUAACUCUAGAAAAGGGACCACAUGUGCUAUUUUUGCUUAUGUUGAUAGGAAAUGUUUCUGCCCAGGCUGUGGAUUUUUAAUUAAAAUAAACUCUUUCCACUUCCUUAAGAAAUAAUAUCCUUAGUCUUCAUAAGCAAUAGAGGUGCUCCCAUGAGAGUGAAGAGGUAGUGGGGCAGAAGGUAUCUGAGGGAGAUCCCACACCUGGAGCUCUCUACCAACCUGUUCAGGCAGUGUGGACGGAGGCUGUGGACAAG